GCCAUUGAGCUAGACACAGACUGGAAGCUGGUGAUGCUAUUCGUUCAGGUGGAUGAGCUCUGUGUAUGUCAGGACCAGGUCAGCAGCCACCUCACGUCUGGAUUUCAGUCCACGUCUUCAUUUCAUGACUUUACAGUGUUCGUGGCUGCGUUCCUUUGAGUGAGUGUUUGUGUGUAUGCAGGUCAGCGAGACAAUCAAAGCAGCUGUCCAUCAGGUGGAUCUUGCGCUGCAGGUGCUGCAGUCGCAGGUGGGUUUUGGUGACUCGUGUGACAUUCUCAGCAAUGCUACAGUACAUUAAUUUAGAUGAUCGUUAAGAUUGCUCUUAAUGUGUUUGCAGUUGAAGCGGACCAUUGUCAAUGUUGCACUGUGGUAUGGAGAGUAUGAUACUGGAUUUCGUUAUCAGAACAGGUGACUUUCUCAACCAAUUGCACAACUCCUCAAUCAGUCGGUGCACUCAUUCCCCGAGUUUGAAAUUCUUCAGUGAUUUCAAGCUAUAGUUUCUGGUAGGCAUUUGACUGCUUCUAUGUCUAUUGACAGGAUGUGUCAAUGUAUGGAGGAAAAACAUGAAGGGGAGCUCAGACUACUGAAGGCCAUCCUCACUCAAGUCCUCCAGGAGUCCCUUGAUCGACACCUGGUAGAGAAGCAGUGGUACAGCAACAGAGAUGACUUCACCGUCCUACUGCAGGAUGCCCCCUUCAUCACAUCAGAACCUGCCUCUUUUAUUGUGAGUGACAAGCCAUUAAAUCCUCCCUACAAUUUUUAUACAUUAAUGUGCCUAUCCUAUUGUGUGAUGCAGAGUUGAGUUGUUAUGGUGUGGGCGUACGCUUUCAUACUGGUACGUGCGUACGCUAGCAUUUCUGAUGCAUACGUGUGUCAGUGUGUGUAACACAAAUGUUAAUCUAUGUACAGAGCGCUGCCCCCAGAGCGGGUGAACAACACACCGACAAACUGGCAGUACAGAUGUGGACCAACUUGGUGCGUCACACAAAAUACUACACAUGCUGCUAACACACUGUGGCAUUGUCUCGGCUCUUAGUUCUAGUCAAGGCAAACAAAAGAGACUUGUUUUCUGUUUUUCAGCUGCAGCCCACCAUAGGCCAGCAGAACAUGGAGGAAAAUAGCAUGAUUAUCUCUGUGCUAUGCCCCAGUGAGGUGAGAGAGUGUGGCCUCCAACACACACCACACCUGGGUUCAAGUAGUUUUCUUUCAAAUACUUUCAUUGAGACUGCCUGGAGUGCC
rnacentral:lncRNA from 1 species